AGUUCUUCCUCAUCCCCAAUUCGUGGUACUAUUCACUCAAAUGAAAAAGUGUGGAUUUUGAGUGAGCAAAGCUUGAGUUUUGUUCUUUGGACCUUGGAUAAGCUAUUUGAGGUGUGCCUAGCGACUGUGAACGUUUGGACUCUCGGGGAGCAAGAUAAGUAACUUGUGCGACAAGUAAGCGAAUUAAUAAAGUUUAAAGAGGAACACAGUUAAUUGAAGAGCCUCAUGGGACAAGGACGCUAACCGUGGCUAGAGGUACUAGUAUGAGGAUGUGAAAUUCUGGGUGGCCGGAGGCUACUAUUUGUUUUAG